CCCAUGGGUACAUGAAGGACUCAAAGUGGAAAAAGAAAAUGAAAGUGCAAAGAUAAAGUUAGAGAAUUGUGGUGGCAUGUCGGAGUAAAUAACGAGUGACCGACAGUGAAAAUAGUUAGAGACAUCUCCAAACAAAUAACGACUUAAAAUCUCAUUGUUGCCAGGUUUCUUGAGUUAAAGGUGUUUGGAUCCUAGGACGAGGUG